rnacentral:rRNA from 1 species
GACGAACGCUGGCGGCGCGCUUAACGCAUGCAAGUCGAGCGAGAACCAGGGCUUCGGCCCUGGGGACAGCGGCGAACGGGUGAGUAACACGUGGGUCAACUGCCCUCGGGACCGGAAUAGCCCGGGGAAACCCGGAUUAAUGCCGGAUGGCCCGGCUGCUCUACGGGGCGGUCGGAAAAGGUAGCUUCGGCCUCCGGCCGAGGAUGAGCCCGCGGCGGAUUAGCUAGUUGGUGGGGUAACGGCCCACCGAGGCGACGAUCCGUAGCUGGUCUGAGAGGACGAUCAGCCACACUGGGACUGAGACACGGCCCAGACUCCUACGGGGGGCAGCAGUGGGGAAUCUUGCGCAAUGGGCGAAAGCCUGACGCAGCGACGCCGCGUGAGGGAAGAAGGCUUUCGGGUUGUAAACCUCUUUCAGGAGGGACGAAGCCACUCGGGUGAAUAGCCCAGAGGGUGACGGUACCUCCAGAAGAAGCCCCGGCUAACUACGUGCCAGCCGCCGCAGUAACAC